CUGUUGCUGCUGUGAACCAUGCGGCUCGCAUCAAAAAUAGGCGUGACCUCGAAUCUCUAGAAGAGACGCAGCCGAGACGCGCGUCUCACUCUGUCAGUGU